AAUAGUUUAAGUCAAUUAAAUAUAAAUUUCAAGAUUAUAAAAUAGUUAGGUUAAAUUUAUCUUUAUAUUUGACAAAACUAAUUUAGCUGAGUCUAUUCAUAACUCCAGUGUGUAUGUAUGUCAAUUAAAUAGACUCUUAUUUUCUCUACACGUGAAAUUGAAAAACCCAGUUUUCUAAAUUGAAUCUCGUUCCAUUUUUGUUUUUUUAUUUUUAUUUUUUUUCGUUUUUUUACACGACAGCUAACAAUUAUAUUGAAAAAAUGGCACUUUUAGGAGCUCAACUUGUUAUCACUCUUGUCAUGGUCAGUUUGAUACAAAAAAUAAGUCCAUAUUUUUCAUUUUCAAGAUGGCUAUUAUGUUCAACUGGGCUAAUUCGUUAUCUUUAUCCAACUGAUCAACAGUUAAAAAAUAUUGCUGGCAUACCAAAAGAAAAGCCAAAAAAAAAUAGUAAACAUGAAAAUGGAAAAAAAACUGAUACAUUUCAUAUACGUAGAAGUUUAGAUAUUACACUUGAAACAACUAAAGUAUCAGAGCUUGAUGUUAUACAUUUAAAAUAUUACACUGAAUUUCAAUGGCUCUUGGAUUUUUCAAUUUAUGCUGUUAUAACAUAUACACUCACAGAAGUUUAUAAUUAUUUUUAUCCAAUUAUUGAUGAUCUAAAUCUCAGUAUGCUUUGGUGUGUGCUGGUCAUUGUUUUUGCAUUUAAAAUGUUAGUCACACUUUGGGCUCAAUAUUUUAAAGGUGAUGAAAGUGUUGGUGAACGUUCAACUUGUAUUGUUGCUGGUUUUGCAUAUUUACUUGUUGCAAUGAUUGUACUUAUUAUCGAUGAAAAUACAUUAGAAAUUGGUCUUGAUAAAGCUUACACAAGUUUUAAUCACAGUGCAUCAACAUUUCUUGGUAAUCAAGGAAUUCAUUCUGCAGGACCUGCAUCACAAAUUGUAUUGAAAUUUUUCUUAGCACUUUGGUGUGGAUUACUUGGAUCCCUGUUUACAUUUCCUGGUAUGCGUAUGUCAAAAAUGCACUGGGAUUUACUCAAAUACUACAAAGACAAUAAAUUUUUAACAUUACUUUCAAAUAUCAGUUUUGCAUCGCCUUUAUUUCUUGUUUAUCUUUGGAUCAAACCAAUCAGUAGAGAUUAUCUUACUGUAAGAAUUUUUUCUGGAAUGGAUGAACCAUUAAUGACAUCAGCUGCAUUUGAUAGUAUGAGAUUAAUAUCAGUUGCUGUUGUUGUAUUAUUAAAAUUAAUUUUAAUGCCAUUUUAUCUACAGUCAUAUUUAAAUUUAGCUGAUCAAAGACUUGAGUAUCAAAAAAAGGAAGCUGGUAGAAUAACAAAUAUUGAAUUACAAACAAAAAUUGCUGCUGUAUUUUAUUAUCUUUGUGUUGUAACAAUACAAUUUAUUGCACCACUGAUGAUAUGUUUAUUUUUUUCCUUCAUGUACAAAACACUUGGUGAAUAUACGUGGAAUGGUAUGGCUAUUGAAAUUUCACCAGAUGAGUGUUCAAUAAAUGAUGAAUCAAAAGUUCCAACAAGUUCUGAAGAAGUUUUUAAUUUUGAUGAAAAAACAGCUACUCAAACUGCUGAAGAAUUACAGCUAGCUUUAGGCUCAUUAAAAGAGAUAUUUACGAAAGAUGUGUUCAGAGGAUUAUUUGGUCUAGCAACAUGGUGGAGUUGUUUCACUCUAUUUGCAACAAAUGCAAUGGGAAUGCUUUAUCAAUCUUACUUUUCAAAUGUGUAGUUUUAUUCUAAAAAAAAAAAUAUCAUAGUGCCAGAACAAUAAAAUAGUGGAGACUGAAAAAACGCACAUUUAAAAAGAUAAAUACUCCAAAGAUUAUUAUAAUCGUGAUUAAAAAAUUUAUAGUGAGAAAGUGCAUCAAUUUGUUUUUUUAUAAAUCACGAUUUUAAAAGUGCACAAGUUAUUUCUGGCUGGAAUUGGUCAUGGUUGAGAGCCCACUCAAAGCAAGGACAUUUGAGUCUUGAACAUUACCUACUUACGUUUUGCACAACCUUUAGUUGGUCCA
rnacentral:misc_RNA from 1 species